GGCAGGGUGAUGUAGUGGAUUGAAUGUUGGACUACCACUCUAGGAAACCAGGGUUCAAAUCCCUGCUCAGUCA